rnacentral:rRNA from 1 species
UGACUCAACACGGGGAAACUCMCCAGGUCCAGACAAAAUAAGGAUUGACAGAUUGAGAGCUCUUUCUUGAUCUUUUGGAUGGUGGUGCAUGGCCGUUCUUAGUUGGUGGAGUGAUUUGUCUGCUUAAUUGCGAUAACGAACGAGACCUCGGCCCUUAAAUAGCCCGGUCCGCAUUUGCGGGCCGCUGGCUUCUUAGGGGGACUAUCGGCUCAAGCCGAUGGAAGUGCGCGGCAAUAACAGGUYUGUGAUGCCCUUAGAUGUUYUGGGCCGCACGCGCGCUACMCUGACAGGGCCMGCGAGUACAUCACCUUGGCCGAGAGGUCUGGGUAAUCUUGUUAAACCCUKUCSKGCCYGGG